AAAUGGUGAUCAACUCAUGGAUGUUCUGGAAGGGGAACCAGGUGAUUGCGUGCCUAUUGAAGACAGCAUCAACACUUCUUGUUUCUCUCUCCAGAGCAUCGUUCAACGAACAAAAUUUAA
rnacentral:precursor_RNA from 12 species